GAUGAAAGAACGUAGCGAAAUGCGAUAAGUAAUGUGAAUUGCAGAAUUCAGUGAAUCAUCGAAUCUUUGAACGCAUCUUGCGCUCCUUGGUAUUCCUUGGAGCAUGCCUGUUUGAGUAUCAUGAGCAAAUCUCAAAGUCAAUUCCUUUUGUUGAUUCAAUUGGUUUUGCUUUGGACUUGGAGGCCUUGCAGAUUUCACAGUCUGCUCCUCUUAAAUGCAUUAGCUGGAUCUCAGUAAUUAUGCUUGGUUCCACUCGGCGUGAUAAGUAUCACUCGCUGAGGACACUGUUAAAAAGGUGGCCAGGAAAAUACUGAUUGAACCGCUUCUAACGGUCUAUUAAGUUAGACAAUUACCCUUAAGUUUGAUCUCAAAUCAGGUAGGACUACCCGCUGAACUUAAGCAUAUCAAUAAGCGGAGGA
rnacentral:misc_RNA from 1 species